UAUCAGAACCUCAUCCACCAUCCCUGGCAUGUGGUUGCCCUGGGGCUUAGAGGUCUGUCCUUCCCUCAUCCUGAGUCCAGGGAAAGUCCCCUCUGUGGUUAGGACAACUACCUUCUCCACCACCAGCUGGGGAGUGGAAGGGAACAUCUGUGGUGGACACACUAGGAUUUGUAGCAAAUGAGCCACACACCCCAGAGGACAGAAAGAACCACUUUGGUAAAAGGCCUCUUGGCCCACUCCUCAGUCUCACUGCCCAAGGACUCCUAUCAGCAUUCCUCCCCAGCCUCCUGAGCCCCAUAACUGGGAGCAUGGGGCUGACCACGGGAGAACCUGGUUUUCUCCUCCACCUUUCUGAACCCUGCACACCUUCACGAAGCAGCUGAAGGAUGUUAGCUGAGAUCUAGAACCUUCUCCUGCCCUGGUCGCUGGCUGGGCUUCCUUGAAGACAUGCUUCAUCUUAGUGCCCCCUUUAUCCUUGAUGUGUCUCAGACCCCAGGAAGUCCCCUCAUCACCCAGCCAAUGGAGCCAGUGAAGGAACUCCAGAGUCUCUGUCACCUGAACCAGCUGGAAGACCAUCUCUGGGAGCUGGACUGGAGCCAGAUGGGGAUCCAGUGUUCCCACGUAUGGGCAGCAGUACCUGGACAGGGAGCAAGAGGUCUGGACCCUGAAAAUAGAUCAGCGAGUCUCUGUCGACCUGGCUUCUGGCAAGAAGGAAUGCAACCAAGCAGAAAGUCAAGUAAAUAAAAGCAGUGCCAAGAAACAUCCCCUAGGGCCUUACAUCAGAAACGGUGUCAGAAUCUCAGGGGUUCAGGUCUCCAGGCCAUAAAUCCUGAAUGGGCCUUGCAGUUAAAAACAUUGACAGAUUUUGUGUGUGGGAACUUGCGGGCCCCUGGAAGACCAGGUCCCCGUGGAAUAAUUGUGACUCAAGUAGGAAAAGAAAUA